UUUUCAGAAACACUGAAAAGGUUGUAGAGGAGAAGAAGCUACCAGAACAAAUGAAAACUAUUGUUGUCCUUAGCACAUUAGGCGCCUUUGAAGUUUAUCCUGUAGAUGUAGAUAUUCAAUCUGAUGAUAACACUAACAAUAAAAAAGAAGAUAAGAAAGAGAAUGAACAGGCAGGGAAGCCUGAUAAAACUGAUCAGAAAAGCUUGGAAGAUUCUAGUGACUUCCACUCAAAUGAGUGUCCAGUUUGAAUAAACAUUAAACUGUACCCAGUUAUCAUUUUGUUGAGAGUUCUGAUGCCUGAAACUGCCUUCCUCAUUUCUUUUCAAUCCGUUCUUGUUUGCGUUCCAUAUCCACCCCGCACCCUAG
rnacentral:lncRNA from 1 species